rnacentral:tRNA from 1 species
GGGUGUUUGUCCGAGUGGUCGAUGGAACCGGUCUUGAAAACCGGCAGAUGGAAACGUCUCUAGGGUUCGAAUCCCUAAGCACCCGCCA